GCCGGGCAAGGUGGCCCAUGCCUGUAAUCCCAGAGGCUUGGGAGGCUAAGGCAGGAGGAUCUUGAAUUCAAAGCUAGCCUCAGCAAUUUAGCAAGGCCCUAAGCAACACAGUGAGACCUUGUCUUAA
rnacentral:sRNA from 1 species